rnacentral:rRNA from 1 species
CCUACGGGUGGCAGCAGUGAGGAAUAUUGGUCAAUGGACGAGAGUCUGAACCAGCCAUGUAGCGUGAAGGAUGACUGCCCUAUGGGUUGUAAACUUCUUUUAUAUGGGACUAAAAUGUUCCACGUGUGGGAUUCUGUAUGUACCAUAUGAAUAAGGAUCGGCUAACUCCGUGCAAGCAGCCGCGGUAAUACGGAGGAUCCGAGCGUUAUCCGGAUUUAUUGGGUUUAAAGGGAGCGUAGGUGGAUUGUUAAGUCAGUUGUGAAAGUUUGAGGCUUAACCGUAAAAUUGCCGUUGAAACUGGCAGGCUUGAGAACAGUAGAGGUGGCCGGAAUUCGUGGUGUAGCGGUGAAAUGCUGAGAUAUGACGAAGAACUCCGAUUGCGAAGGCAGCUCACUGGACUGCAACUGACACUGAGGCUCGAAAGUGUGGGUAUCAAACAGGAUUAGAUACCCGAGUAGUC